rnacentral:rRNA from 1 species
UACAGAGGGUGCGAGCGUUAAUCGGAAUUACUGGGCGUAAAGCGUGCGCAGGCGGUUUUGUAAGCCAGAUGUGAAAGCCCCGGGCUUAACCUGGGAAUGGCAUUUGGGACUGCAAGGCUUGAGUGCGGCAGAGGAGACUGGAAUUCCAGGUGUAGCGGUGAAAUGCGUAGAUAUCUGGAGGAACACCGGUGGCGAAGGCGGCGUUCUGGACUGCUACUGACACUGAGGAACGAAAGCCAGGGGAGCAAACGGG